CCAGGACGAGUCCGUGCUGUGGACUGAGAGCGGCGACGUCGGCAAGGGCUUCCGCUGCAUCCGCAUGGUGAACAACAUCCGCCUCAACUUCGACGCCCUCCACGGCGACAAGGACCACGGCGGCGUGCACGACGGCACCACCGUCGUGCUCUGGGAGUGGGCCAAGGGAGACAACCAGAGCUGGAAGAUCCUGCCGUGGGGCGACGAGGCCGGCAGCGCCGGCAACGCGCCCCGCGGCGGCUACGGCCACGGCGAGCCCACCGUGCGCAUCUACUGCAAGGCCGACGAGGGGUUCAGCGUCACCGUCCGCCACGGCGCCGUCUGCCUCGCGCCCACCAACCCGCGCGACGAGUACCAGCACUGGAUCAAGGACAUGCGCCACAGCAACAGCAUCAAGGACGAGGAGGGCUACCCGGCCUUCGCGCUCGUCAACAAGGUCACCGGCGAGGCCAUCAAGCACUCCCAGGGCGAGGGUCACCAGGUAAACCAUUGUCCUAUCUGCCCUUCCUGAUCUCGUCGUAUUUUUAUCGGAGGGAUCAAGAAAUGUCGUAUUUUUAUCGGAGGGAUCAAGAAAUGUCGGUAUUUUUAUCGGAGGGAUCAAGAAAUGAUUUUUUGGCCGCGCUUGAGUAUUGCAGGUGAAGCUGGUGCCGUACAACCCCAGCUACCAGGACGAGUCCGUGCUGUGGACGGAGAGCCGCGACGUCGGGCACGGCUUCCGCUGCAUCCGCAUGGUGAACAACAUCUACCUCAACUUCGACGCCUUCCACGGCGACAAGGACCACGGCGGGGUGCGCGACGGCACCAACAUCGUGCUCUGGAAGUGGUGCGAGGGCGACAACCAGCGCUGGAAGAUCGUUCCCUGGUGUAAGGAGUCUCACCAGUCUUACUAGCUGCCACUGCUUUUUUCCUGAAUCUUGAUUUCAGAGAGUAGAAAAUCUCUGAACAUCUUACCAACCCGCACUAGAAGUUUCACAAAGCGAGUGUCGGUAGACACUGAUAGCUUAUCUCCUCGUUUCCUUUUCAAUUACUAUAUUUUUCUAAUAUGUCGUUAACAGAAUAUUAAUGACACCUGAUUGUUGCUUGCGUGUGCAGA
rnacentral:lncRNA from 1 species